GGCGCUGUGGCACAGUGGGUUAGAGCCCUGGCCUGAAGCGCCAGCAUCCCAUAUGGGCUCUGGUUCAAGUCUCAGCUGCUCCA
rnacentral:tRNA from 1 species